rnacentral:rRNA from 1 species
CAGUUCGGUCCCUAUCCGCCGUGGGCGUAGGAAAUUUGAGAGGAGCUGUCCUUAGUACGAGAGGACCGGGAUGGACCAACCUCUGGUGCACCAGUUGUUCCGCCAGGAGCACAGCUGGGUAGCUAUGUUGGGAAGGGAUAAACGCUGAAAGCAUCUAAGCGUGAAGCCCACCUCAAGAUUAGAUUUCCCAUAGCGUAAGCUAGUAAGACCCCUGAAAGACUAUCAGGUUGAUAGGUUGGAGGUGUAAGUACAGUAAUGUAUUCAGCUGACCAAUACUAAUAGGUCGAGGGCUUGAUCAAAUU